rnacentral:tRNA from 2 species
GCCUUGGUAGCUCAGUUGGAUAGAGCGCACCGCUACGAACGGUGAGGUCGGGGGUUCGAAUCCUCCCCAGGGCGCCA